CUCAGAGUAGCAAAGGCAAAAGAGCAGUUACUAGGAAACCAGAGCAUCCAAGUCGGAGAGGGGCCGCUUCCUCUCUGAAGCAUCGGAGAUCAGGUUUAUAUCUCUAAGAAGAGAAAUGAUAGAUGGCAGAGAGACAGGAAAUACAGCCAAGAAGAUUUUGAGGGAAACAGAACUCUUAAUUUCUUAAGCAACAACUCUCAAGACCACUAACAAAAGUCUGGGUGAGACACAGUGCCCAUGAGAAGCAGGAGCCACGUGGCCACUGAGGAUGACACAUUCAAUCUGAGAAGACCAGGGCGUUGCAGCAGAGGCUUUCCAUGCUGCAGUUAGAGAAACUCGUGAUCCAAGAAGAACUGAGUCCAAUCAAAUAGAGACACUGUUGACAAACUGCAAACGCAGCGCUGCUGGGAAGGCCUCUGGGGGUGUCCUGCCGAGCGCCAGCCCGCACUCCCA
rnacentral:lncRNA from 1 species